rnacentral:rRNA from 1 species
UACGAAGGGGGCUAGCGUUGUUCGGAAUUACUGGGCGUAAAGCGCGCGUAAGCGGUUUUGCAAGCCAGAGGUGAAAGUGCCUGAGCUCAACUCAGGAAUGGCCUUUGGGACUGCGAGGCUUUGAGGACUGGAGAGGUGAGUGGAAUUCCCAGUGUAGAGGUGAAAUUCGUAGAUAUUGGGAAGAACACCGGUGGCGAAGGCGGCUCACUGGCCAGUUUCUGACGCUGUAGCGCGAAAGCGUGGGGGAUCAAACAGG